rnacentral:misc_RNA from 1 species
AGGGGCUCGUCUAUUCACCUGACUCGAGGUCACAUUUCAGAAGUUGGGUGUUUAACGGCUGUGGACGCGCCGCGCUCCCGAUGCGAGUGUGCAAACUACUGCGCAGGAGAGGCUGCGGCGAGACCGCCACUGUAUUUCGGAGACGGCCACCGCCAAGGCAGGGCCGAUCCCCAACGCCGACCCCCCGGAGGGGUUCGAGGGUUGAAAUGACGCUCGGACAGGCAUGCCCGCCAGAAUACUGGCGGGCGCAAUGUGCGUUCAAAGAUUCGAUGAUUCACUGAAUUCUGCAAUUCACAUUACUUAUCGCAUUUCGCUGCGUUCUUCAUCGAUGCCAGAACCAAGAGAUCCGUUGUUGAAAGUUUUGAUUCAUUUUCGAAACGCCUACGAGAGGCGCCGAGAAGGCUCAGAUUAUAAAAAAACCCGCGAGGGGGUAUACAAUAAGAGUUUUGGUUGGUCCUCCGGCGGGCGCCUUGGUCCGGGGCUGCGACGCACCCGGGGCAGAGAUCCCGCCGAGGCAACAGUUUGGUAACGUUCACAUUGGGUUUGGGAGUUGUAAACUCGGUAAUGAUCCCUCCGCUGGUUCACCAACGGAGACCUUGUUACGAUUUUUUACUUCCAAACCCACUUA